GUUCCCCUCCAUACUCGAGUCUCCUGCUUGUAGUCCAUGUGAUGUUCUGCUCUUGUCAGGACCGUGUUACAGCAAGACAAAAGUCACAACUCAUCCAGAUAGUUGAAGACACUUAAGGUAAGAUCAACUAAGUUCCGAUUAUAAAUGUACUUAGUGUUAGCUUUAUAUUGUAGACUUCUGGAAGAAAGUAUGUCCGGGGGCGGGGCUAGGGGGAAACAGAUCCCCAAACAGAGUUGGACACAACACCGGCAUUACUUUUGAAAACUGCCACAGCAGAAGAAAAUCCUCACAACUGUAACGUUAGCAGAAGAGACUGAACAAGCUUUGUCUAAAUAACUAAGCGCUAGGCAACUAACACGUCGAGCUAACAGGUUAGCUAGCUAGCACGUUACAAGCAGGUUAGCUGAUGUUAUGCUAUAAAUUUAGUUUCGGUUUCACUUUAUAAUCAUCAAAUGUAAACACAAAGUCUACCGCUAACAAAAUUAGCUCGCAGGUAAGCUAACAACGGUAUUAAGUUAAUGUUCGGGGUGAAAUGGUGUGCAUUUUUGCUCUACAUGAACAGAAAAGUGGAAAUUAUGUCCUUUUCUCCACAAAAAUAAAAAGAAUGAUGAGGCAGUGCUUGAUGAUCCAGAUGUCAAGAAAGAAGCAUCAGAAAAGGAAGAGAAACAGCAAGAGAAAGUGGACGGAAAGCCAGAGGAUUUGUUAGUGGAAGGUUAUUAAAGUAAGGGCACAGAACAGGAAGUAAAGUCAGAAGCACCUGACAGUGAGGCUGAAGAGGACACAGGUGAGGAGGAGGACAUCCACAAGCAGUAGACCAUCAGAUAUCAGCUAGUGUAAAGACUCAUCAAUUCAGAAUCUGAAGUUUUCAAGGACCUUGAUGAAGGACAGGAGAAGAAUCUUUACUGCAGUCUGCUUUUUACACUCUUGGCAUUCUCUCAGCCAGACUCAGGUAGUCUCCUGGAUUGGUUUUCUAACAAUCUUGAAGGAAUUCUCAGAGGUGUUGAGGACUUGAUGGCUGCCCUUCCUUCACUCUCUGGUCCAACUCAUCAUAAACCACCUCAGCUGGGUUUAGAUCAGGUGAGUGUGGAGCUCAUGUCAUCUGAUGCAGCAGUUCAUCACUCCCUUUCUUGGACAAAUACCUCUUACCUAGUGGUAUGUUUGUUGUUAUUGUCCUACUGAAAAACAAAUGAUGGCCUCACUAAAAGCAAACCAGAUGGGAUGGCAUGUCACUGCAAAAUGCUGUGGUAGCCAUGCUGGUUAAUUGUGCCCUCAAUUUUGACUAAGUCACCAACAGUGUCACCAGCAAAUCACCCCCACACCAUCACACCUCCUCCCCCAUGCUUCACAUAUUCAGGAAUUGUCUGUUCACCCUCUCUACGUCUAACAAAGAUAUGGUGGUUAGAACCAAAAAUCUCAAACUUGGACUCAUCAGACUAGAGGAGAGUUCUCCACUGAUCUUAUGUCCAGACCUUGUGUUUCUUGGCCCAAGCAAGUCUCUUCUGCAUGUGGUUCUUCCGAAGUAAUAGUUUCUUUGCCGCAAUACGACCAUGAUGACCUGACUCCUACAGUCUUCUCUGAACAGUGGAGGUUUAAAUAUGUCUGCUACUUGAACCCCAAGAAGCAUUUAUGUGGGCUGUAAACUGAGGUGCUGUAUUUCGGCAGUUUCUGAGGCUGGUAAUUCUAAUAAACUUCUUCUUGGUAGCAGAGGUAGCUCUUGGUCUUCCUUUCCUUGGACUGUCCUCAUGAGAGCCAGUUUCAUUAUAGCAUUUGCUGGUUUUGGUGACUGCACUAAGAGGGAUACAUUCAAAGUUCUUGAGAUUUUUCAGAUUGACUGACCUUCAUUUCUUAAUGUAAUGAUAGACCGUCUUUUCUCUUUAUUUAACUGAAUCUUUCUUGCCAUAACAUUUUGUACAGUAGUUGUAGUAGCACUAAUAGGGCUAUAGACUCUGUACCCACCCUUCCUCUUCUCAAGAUAACUGAUGCUCUAAACACAGUAAGAAGGCAAGAAAUGUCACAAAUGUAUUCAUGAAGACACACCUGUGAAUUAAAAACCCUGCCAGGUGACUACGCUGUGAAUCUGAUGAGAGAAUGCAAUGAGUGUGCCAAGCUGUCAGCUACUUUGGACAAUCUAAAAUAUAAAACAUAUUCUGGGUUGUUGAACACUGUUUUUGUUUGCUACAUAAUUCAUGUGUUCUUUUAUAGUUUGAAGUAUUAGUAUACAAUGUUGAAAAUAAUAAAAAAUAAAGAAAAAUUCACUGAAGGAGAAAGUGUGUCCAAAUUCCAAACUUUUAACUGGUACUGUGUGCAUUAUUGUAUAUGUAUGUAUACAUGUGUGUAUAUGUGUGUGUGUGUAUUAAAUCUCACAGC